AAAAAACAAUAUCCAUAGUGGCUGUCUGAGGUUGCAACCCUGCUCUGGGGGACCUGGAACACAGGCCCCAGGGACCCAAAUACAACAGAGACGCUCCAAUCUUGUGGGAAGGCUGUUGACUGGGCAAAGUCUGGAAAAUUCACGCAGCAAGACAUCAACAAACGCAAACUUUCUGUCUUCUCAACCGUAGAUGCUCCUGUCGCUCCUUCAGACAAAGGAAUGGACCACUUCUUGUAUGGCCUCUCAGAUGAGAUGAAGCAGGCCCACAGGGAGCAGCUCUUCUCCGUCAGCCACGACAAGCUCCUGGCCAUGAGCGAUAG